CGGUCUCAUUCUUCCGCGGUGAUCCUCUGAGUAGCCAGGUCGAGUCUUUCAAUUAUCUUAGGCUAAUGUGGAACAGCAGAUCCUGAGUCUCAAGUGUUAAAAAUAAACACCAGGUAUACAAGUUUUAUUAUUUGUUUUUAUAUCUUCUUUGCCUAUGAUGAAUAAAAAUGUAUAAGAGUAGUGGACAGGAGUGAUUUCUGAUAAUUUUUACUCUGAGGCAUUGAGUAAUUUACCCAAAUUCUGCUUCCUUUUUGAGUUUUCUAUUGAACAAAGAUUUACUGAAUGUUCGAUUUCAUCAAUGUUUUUCCUUCAACGUUCUUUUAGAUUCUUGUUCAUGUGAAUAAACUUUCACUUUAAUGAUUAAUUUGGGUUGACUCCACCUCUUUUAAAGAUUUACCAUGUCUUUGCAGCAUUGUAAUGCAAGUUUUUGCUUUUCAGGACUCUGCUGUUGGUCUGAAUCAUCUCCAAGGGUCAUGUGCUCUGCAGUUCAACUUGAAGGUUGCCUAAAAAGGUGGAUCAAGCUGUAUGGAGAUGGCGUCAGUUGACUUGAGGUUCCCCAAGAAGAUUGAAAAUGUAUGAAGACUCCAGCUGAUAUGGUAAACAAAUUGUUGUCUUUAAGUGAGAAGUUAACUUUUAAUUGUGUAGUAUCUCAAUGUUUUAGUAAAAUUGUAAUGCAAUG
rnacentral:sRNA from 1 species